rnacentral:rRNA from 1 species
ACGCUCGACACCUACAGGAGGCAGCAGUGGGGAAUAUUGCACAAUGGGGGAAACCCUGAUGCAGCGACGCCGCGUGAGUGAAGAAGUAUUUCGGUAUGUAAAGCUCUAUCAGCAGGGAAGAAGAUGACGGUACCUGAGUAAGAAGCCCCGGCUAACUACGUGCCAGCAGCCGACGGUAAUCUGAGGCGGGCUGGCAAGGC